GGGGAUGUGGCUCAGUGGCAGAGAACUUACCUGGCAUGUGUGAGGCCCUGGGUUCAAUUCCCAGCACCACCA
rnacentral:tRNA from 1 species